AGUGCUGUAAUUUCCAUUUUAAAACUGUAUUUUCUGUAUGUUCCUGUUCAUGUACAGAAGACACUGGAAAUAUUUCCAAGUAGUUUUUAUUUCAUUUUAUGUUUUUACUAACUUGGCUAAGUUGCGAGUACAUACUUUUAUAUUGUUUAUUGGAAUGAUUUUCCAAGUUGCACCUAACGUUUAUAAGAAAAUGGAAGGAGAAAAUCUUUUCAUUAAUCAAAAACACCAAAAUAAGCAUUUAUAAAAAGGAUUAAAAGAUUUCAAGAUAGCAUUUUUUGGUAUUUUUGGAUUCUUUACCUGUCAUUUUAAAUCUCAGCUAAAAGGUCAAAAUAUUAAGAGGUAUUUAAUCCAACCACUCACCACUUCGGUGUUUGGAUUGCAGUGGAACAUGUACUAUAUCCAAAGGUGAUUGUAAAUUUGUUUGUAAUAAAUAGCCAAGAAGCACAGAUGAGAAAUUAGCAUGUACUUUUCUCUGAGAGUUAGUUAAAAGAAAUUAGGCAAUUUUGUUUUUAAAUAACUUUUUCUCACACUGUUGAAUGGGAUUUUCUGCAAAUGUACAGAGAGCUUAUUUUUAGUUGGAACAAGAUGAAAACAGACAUAGAAUUUAUACCAGGAAAAUUCUCACCCAGCCUGAUUCCCUUCUCAAACCUCUAAGGAGUGUCAGGGGUGUUUUGCCUGAUGAGGCAAGGAGGACAUUCUCUUCUUCCAGCCUUUUCCCCACAAGACUACACUCACGUCUUUGUUGGCCUUGCUGAGUAGUCUGUAUCCCUGGGUCGUUUAGAUAGGAGCAUCAUCUAUGCUUGGAAGCAGUGACCAAAAUGGCUAGUAAUCCUACAAAUUGUGCAUAUACCUUUAGAAAGACUUAGAAAACUGCAGUGAAAGUACAUUGUUACCCAUUCCAUUACUCAGGGAUCAGUGAUGUCCAGCCAUGCUGUGCCAUACUGGUCAGUAGCACUAGGGAUUAAUACUCUUUAUAAAUUAAAAAAAAAAGUUUUUAUUUAUUUUUGAGAGAUAGAGCACUAGCUGGGGAGGGACAGAGAGAGAGGGAGACACAGAAUCCGAAGCAGGCUUCAGGCUCUGAGCUCUCAGCACAGAGCCCGAUGCGGGGCUCAAACUCAUGGAACUCGUGAACCGCGAGAUCUUGACCUGAGCCGAAGUCAGACGCUCAACCGACUGGGCCACCCAGGCGCCUCUAGUGAUUAAUACUGUUAUGUGUAAAUCACUAAAGAUGUCCUUCCUAGACUUAAAACUCUGUAUAGGACAGUGAAUUCAAUGCAUUUCUUCUUUAUUGUCCAUCCAACUCAGUAAAUCCAACUGUAGCCUCUUCUCUUUAUUGCCCUGGGUGGAUCUUUCUAUGUAGCCUUUCUGUUUAUGUAUAUCUUGAGCCAGGUGCCAGGUUUUAGGGUAAAAUGAUAAGAGUUGGACAAAAUAUUUCUCUGGCGAUUUUUUUAUUGGUAUCUGUGGAAUUCUGACCCUCUGAGGAUGCCACGGGGUGGCUUGUGCAGCUGCGCUUGUGGUUUUCAGAGCAGCGGCAGGAGACACCUGACUGCUAGUCCCAAUUCCUCUUCUAAAUGGCUGUGUAGUCUUAAGCAAGUGACUUGGCCACUCUGAGCUUCAGUUUCCUAUUCUGUAAAACAAGGAAAUUGCCCUAGAAAAAUCUCAGAACCCUGCCAACCUCCGAAACCCUAUGGUUCUGUGACUAAUUUUAGUUAUUCCAAAGCUGGAAAUAUGUUCAGCUCAGAAAUGUGUUUUACAUUGAUUUACUUUUUUUUUUUUUUUAGUUACUGCAGUAUAUCAAGUAGUUAGUUCUAUGUUUAACAUAGUGAAGGGUCCAUUCUUUGAUGGUGGUAACAACAGCAACUCUUGCAGCUCUUACUUUGUAGCAGGUACUAUUCUUAAGUGUUCUCUGCUGAAUCCUUGCAAGUUUGUGAGAUAGGUCCUAUUAGUACUUCCCUGCUUGAUGGAUGAGGGAACCAAGACAGAGAGAACAGACUUUUAGUUUGGAAUCUCUCUUUGUCACCAUUCUGGGAAUCCCCUUCACCUCUCUUCUCUGCUAGAUCCCUUCCCUUGUUCCCCAUGUUCCAUUUCUUCCUCUUUCUGAAUGUUCUUCCUUUUGUUGCUGAGAAGGGAUGAAUAGAAAUAAUUUUUUGAGGCCUCCAUGUCUGCAACAUGACUUUAUUCUGACUUCACCUUUGAUUGGCAGUUUGGCUGGAUAUAGAACUCUAUAUUGGCAGUAAGUUCCUUUCAGAAUUUUGAACGUAUUGCUCCCUUGUUUUCCGGUCUCUUCUGGUGUGACGUCCCAUAUCCUCCUGAUUCCCGGUCCUUGUAUAGCCAGGGUUUUUGUUUUAUUUUAUUUUGUUUCUGGAAAUUUGUUGAAUCUCUUUGUCCCCCAUGUUCUGCAGCUUUACAGUGAUGUGUCUUGAUGUGGGCCUGUUUUCAUCCAUUGUGUCAGGCUGUUGGUACAUCCUUUUCUUUUGGAAGUUCAUGGUCUUCAGUUUGGGGACAUUUUCUAAUAUGUUUUUAACAUUUAUUUUUGAGAGAGAGAGACAGAGGCUAGGGAGGGAGGGACAGAGAGAGAGAGGGAGACACAGAAUCUGAAACAGGCUCCAGGCUCUGAGCUGUCAGCACAGAGCCUGACAUGGGGCUUGUACUCAAAAACUGUGAGAUCAUGACCUGAGCCAAAGUAGGAAGCCUAACUGACUGAGCCACCCAGGUGCCCCAGGGGACAUUUUCUUAUACACUAUUGUGUUAAUGAAUUUCUUCCUCCUCUUUCCCCUUUUUACUCUUUCUGGAACUACUCCCCAGAUUCUGGACCUUUCUGGACUUGUCCUCUAAUUUUUAUUCUUUUCUUAAAUUUUCAUUUUGAUAAUUUUUCUCUGUAGUUUCUGGAAUAUGUGUAGUUUCUGGAAAAUUUUUUCCCAGCUCUUUAGUGAAUAUUAUUUCUGUUAUUAUUUUUUUAUUUACAGGAGCUUUUAAAAAAUUCUUGGAAUGUUCUUUUUUGAUAUUCUGUUAUUUUGUUUUAUGAUUUCAGUGUAUUCUCCAAGGAUUCUAAUGACAGGUUUCCUCUUUUACGAAAAAUUUUGAACAAAAAGUAGAAAGAAUAGUAUGAGAUUCCCCUGUUCCCGUCAUCUCCUGGCCUCACUUAUUUAAUCAUCCACCUCACCUAGAUUCUCUCAAAGCAAAUCCCAGCUCUCAUAUCAUUUCAUCCAUAAAUAUUUCCGUAUAUUUCUCAUUAUAUAUAUAUAUGUGUAUUACAUAUAUGUAUGUAUUACAUAUGUAUACAUAUGUAUAUUUAUUACAUAUAUAUGUAUUGCAUAUAUAUGUAUGUGUGUAUAUAUAUGUAUAUAUGUAUGUGUGUGUGUGUAUAUAUAUAUAUAUACACAUACAUAUAUAAUGGACGACUAAAACAUAACCAUAAUAGUCGUACCUAAAAAUUAUCAACAGUUCCUUAAUAUCAUCAAAUAGCCAAACAAUAUUUGAAUCGCCUGUUUAUCUCAUUUAAAAAAAAACCAAUUGGAUUUUCCAAAUCAGUACUCAGAUAAAGUCCAUAUAGUGCAAUUGGUUGACAUGUGUUCUAAUUUCUUUUAAUCUAUAGGUUCCCCCAAUUCUCUCUCUCCUUUGUAUUCUAUUCCAUAUAUUUGUUGAAGAAACUGGGCCAUUUGUCCUAUAGAGGUCCCACAGUCUGAAUUGUGCUGAUUGUAUCUCUGUUGCAAGUUCAUUUUUGGUUUGUUUGUUGGCUUUGGACUCUAUCUUUCAUUUUGGAAUCCUUCCUCAGAUAUCGGGUGGUACUUCUUUGUCUGUUAUAUUUAAAAAUAAGGGAUGGGGGAAACCAGCCUAAUUCAAGCCCGGCACAGGUGAGUGGGAGCUUGUUGGCAAUAGCUUCACUUAAAAGGGUUGUCUACAGCCCUUUACUUGGGGAACCACCAGUGUCAGUAACUCUUUGGCUGUUUCAGAUUGCCCAGCAUCUUCCUGUCUCCUGCCGGAGGGUCUGAGCAUUUCUGCCAUCUUUCUGGGAACCAAGGUGGGGGUAGGGCUUGUGGUGAAUAUCUCACUUGCAUGUGUUCACCGAAUCCCAGCUUUCAUGACAGUACCCACUCCCCAACAAGUUGUAUUGAGUCCCUCACCCAGAGACCUAUAUUUUAUACUUUCCAGAGAAUGUAUCUUCACGUAUAUACUUCUGCCAGAUGGAGGGGGAGCAAUCAUAGCUUUACAGAACAGGGGCCUGGUCUGGGGACUCUCACUAUCUCUUGAAGAUCCCCUUUAUUCUAGCUCAUCCCUUCCAGUGUUCCCUAUUUCCAGUAAUGCCCUCAGGGCCUUUUGAGAAUUCUGUGGUGAAAAUUAGAUUGGUCUUGGCUUUCUCCACUGCUAAUUUAAGGUUCAGCUUUGUCUGCUUUCCAGUUCUGAAAUUUUGUUAUUAUUGUCCUCUCAUGCUCUUAGGAGGGAGCAGGAGUAAGUUCUUGUAUUCAAUCUACCUUUCCUAGAAUUCAGUUGACUUUUAAUUAUAGUGAUUCAGGGAUAAUUGAUCUCUUGUCUCAUGACUCUUUAGUUUCCAACUGAAGCAAAGAACUGGAAAAACUUGACUCUUAUGGUUGCAGGAAGACUUCCCCCACAUAAAAUUAUUAUAGAUCAUUCGGUUAUUUGCAAGAUGCAUGAAAAGCGGGCGCAACAAAUCAUCAAGUGAAAGCUCACGAAGGUAGCUGUAUAAAGACCCAAACUUAAAGUUUUUCACAAAAUGUAGAACAAGGACUCACUCUGUGUGUUGUAAAACCAGCUGCUCCUACAGCUGCUCAAAGCCAAGAAGCAGUUGGCAGGAUCAAGAUAUUUCAUCUGGUACAAGGCCCUGUUCCAGACUCAUAUUAGCCAACAUGGAAAAAGAGUCCAAGCCUGUCCAAACUUCUUUAGAAAAGCAGCCGGAAGGCUCCUCCGAGUCUCCCUGAGGCUGGGUGCGGAGCUCUUCACUGGAGUCAUCUGAAAACUUGCAGGAGUGAUUUCUUUUUCUUGGAUGAGUUUGGGGCUCAUUUUUUUUUUUUUUGACCUAACCAUAAUGGCUGUCAUCCCUGUUUAGCACACAUCUGAUUCAGUUGGAUUCGGCGAACUCUGCCCUGUUGUAAGAAUACAGUUCAGUUUUGUGAACAGGAGGUGUGGGAAUGGGGAAUCUCAGCUGACCGUUGUUCUGACAGUAGGUGUUCUCUGUUGGAAACAAAACGGGGCCGUACCCAGAGGCAGCCGUUUGGGGAUGUGCUGAGGCACAAGUAUCUCAGGGUAAAAUGCACCCACUGAAUUGAGUUUUCCUAAGAGUGGGUAUCCUAGGAAAAUGCAAUGGGUGCUGAAGAAUCUUCCACCGUAACUUCCUGUUCUACCACUAAUUUUUUUUUUUUUACAUAGUUUCUCCUUAACUCUGUCAUAGCCAAAGUGGCAUCAAAAGUAAAUAUUGGCAUGUAAGAAUGGCAGGUUUUGUUUUUAUUUCACUUUACCGUCUCCCUCACUCUGGCCCAAAACGGGAAAGUUACAUUUCUAAAGAUAUCUAUUAAAGGCAUACAUUAUAUAGAAAGUUAAUGUCUUUAGAACGUAUCAUCUCAUAGUAGUAGGUAAAUGAGAGGUUUAUUAAACUACACAGAAUCUGACAAAGCAAUAAAUGCUUUAUGUUUUCCCAUAACUUCUUAGCAGGUGUUAUUGUUUAUUAUUAUUUUAAUAAUGUAGCCCUUAGGUAUAAAACCACGAAAAAGGAGAAUGUAAUUCAUGAUACUUCUGAGAGCUCAAUGAUGUCAUCAUUUAUUGUAAACAGUGCGUUUUUAAACCACCUGUUUGAAAUAUAAUUCUAAAACAACAUAACAAUCUAUGUAGACAAUAGUUUAAAUUUUAGUAUGGUUCAUUACAACUCCAGACUUUUUUGAGUCUUGUUUUCUAUUUUCUAUGGCUGUAAGGAUACAAAAGAUAAAUAGCUAAAAACACUUUGAAAAGUGGCACGCAAGAAGAUUAUGUACUGUUCCAACCUCACAGGGCUGCUAUGAGAGAGUGUGUGGGUGUGUGGGUGUGGGUGUGUAUGUUGUGAGUGUGUGUGUGAGGGAGAGAAAGAGAUGAAGAGAGUACCAGUAAUGUAACACCUGGUAUUCAGUAGCACUAUAUAGUAAGUAUUUGCUGAAGUAUUAAUUAGGUAGUCACUAAAUAACGGUUAACAUUUAUUGAACACUAUUCUACUUGCCAUAUUAUCUCAUUUAAUCUUCAUCACCACUCAGAAGUAUUAGCUCCAUUUUACAGAUGAAGUAACUGAGGCUUAAUAACUACUUAGCAAGUUGGGGAACCAGGGUUCCAUCCAGGCUUUCUUGACUCUAGAACCUGUGUGAUCUAAAACUAUAUACUAUAAAACUAAAACUAUAUACUGCUUGGGUGCCUGGCUGGCUUAGUUAUUAAAGUGUCUGACUUCGGCUUAGGUCAUGAUAUCAUGGUUCAUGAGUUCGAGCUCCACAUUAGGCUCUCUCCUGUCAGCACAGAGCUUGCUUUGGACCCUCUGUCCUCCUCUUUCUCUGCACCCCCCUCUUCUCCUCGUGUGCUCUCUCUCUC